UACGUAGGGGGCAAGCGUUGUCCGGAAUCAUUGGGCGUAAAGAGCGUGUAGGCGGCCCGGUCAGUCCGCCGUGAAAGUCCAGGGCUCAACCCUGGAAUGCCGGUGGAUACUGCCGGGCUGGAGUCCGGAAGAGGCGAGUGGAAUUCCUGGUGUAGCGGUGAAAUGCGCAGAUAUCAGGAGGAACACCGAUGGCGAAGGCAGCUCGCUGGGACGGUACUGACGCUGAGACGCGAAAGCUAGGGGAGCAAACAGG
rnacentral:rRNA from 1 species